rnacentral:sRNA from 1 species
AAAAUAAUUAGGGUUCAAAAGCCGUUUAAUAUAAUGUUUUGCAUAGAAACUUGAACUGUUUCUUCAAAACAUCAUAUAAUAUGAAACAUAAGGAGUACAACAUAAGAAUAUAUGAAAAUGCAUAGAGAUUGGAUGAAGAACAAAAGAAAUUUACCUAUGUUUUACUUGUAAUUCAUUUUUUGUUUUGCUUAUAUUUUACUU